AGUUAGUUUAUCAAAAACAUUCAAUUGUCAAUUGGGAAAAGAUUUGUCGGUCACUUUUAA
rnacentral:tRNA from 1 species